UACAGAGGUCCCGAGCGUUGUUCGGAUUCAUUGGGCGUAAAGGGUGCGUAGGCGGUGGGGUAAGUUGGAUGUGAAAUCUUGGGGCUUAACCUCAAAAUUGCAUUCAAUACUGCUCCGCUCGAGUUCUGUAGAGGAGAUUGGAAUUUACGGUGUAGCAGUGAAAUGCGUAGAUAUCGUAAGGAACGCCAGUGGCGAAAGCGGCUUCCUGGACCAGUACCGACGUUCAGGCACGAAAGCGUGGGGAGCAAACAGG
rnacentral:rRNA from 1 species